UUUUACUAUGUGCUUGCUUUCGCAGGAGUUCUGAUAGAAGCUUCUGGAGAUAUGAGUGAAACAACCCCAGGAACUUUUACAGUGGGCGCCGCCAGAGUAAAUGAUGGAUCCUUUGAAGCCAUUCUCGGAGGAGUCAUUUUUGCGCUGCUCCUGGCGCUGCUCUGUCUGGCGUUGCUGGUCCUGCGCUACAUUAUCAAGCAUAAGGGCACUUACCACACCAACGAG